AUUGAACGCUAGCGGGAUGCUUUACACAUGAAAGUCGAACGAGUGGCGGACGGGUGAGGAAUAUAUCUGAACGUGACCAGUAGCGGGGGAUAAAUACUCAAAAGAGUGGCUAAUACCGCAUACUCUUGGAGCGGCCGAUAUCUGAUUAGAGAGGUGGUGGGGUAAAGGCUCACCAAGGCAACGAUCCGUAGCUGGUUUGAGAGGACGACCAGCCCCACUGGGACUGGGACACGGCCCAGACUCCUACGGGAGGCAGCAGUGGGGAAUUUUGGACAAUGGGGGAAACCCUGCUCCAGCCAUCCCGCGUGUAUGAGAAGGCCUUCGGGUUGUAAAGUACUUUUGGCAGAGAAGCGGUAUCUGCAGAAUAAGCACCGGCUAACUACGUACCAGCAGCCGCGGUAAUAC
rnacentral:rRNA from 1 species